rnacentral:rRNA from 1 species
CCUGAAGGAACGUUAAAGACGAUGACGUUGAUAGGCCGGGUGUGUAAGCGCAGCGAUGCGUUGAGCUAACCGGUACUAAUGAACCGUGAGGCUUAACCUUAC